rnacentral:rRNA from 1 species
GACGAACGCUGGCGGCGUGCUUAACACAUGCAAGUCGAACGGAAAGACCCUGCUUUUGUGGGGUGCUUGAGUGGCGAACGGGUGAGUAACACGUGAGUAACCUGCCCUUGACUUUGGGAUAACUUCAGGAAACUGGGGCUAAUACCGGAUAGGAGCUCCUGCUGCAUGGUGGGGGUUGGUGAGUUUCGGCGGUUGGGGAUGGACUCGCGGCUUAUCAGCUUGUUGGGGGGGUAGUGGAUUACCAAGGCUUUGACGGGUAGCCGGCCUGAGAGGGUGACCGGCCACAUUGGGACUGAGAUACGGCCCAGACUCCUACGGGAGGCAGCAGUGGGGAAUAUUGCACAAUGGGCGGAAGCCUGAUGCAGCAACGCCGCGUGCGGGAUGACGGCCUUCGGGUUGUAAACCGCUUUCGCCUGUGACGAAGCGUGAGUGACGGUAAUGGGUAAAGAAGCACCGGCUAACUACGUG